rnacentral:rRNA from 1 species
ACUCCUACGGGAGGCAGCAGUAGGGGAAUCUUCCACAAUGGGCGGCAAGCCUGAUGGAGCAACACCGCGUGAGUGAAGAAGGGUUUCGGCUCGUAAAGCUCUGUUGUUAAAGAAGAACACGUAUGAGAGUAACUGUUCAUACGUUGACGGUAUUUAACCAGAAAGUCACGGCUAACUACGUGCCAGCAGCCGCGGUAAUACGUAGGUGGCAAGCGUUAUCCGGAUUUAUUGGGCGUAAAGAGAGUGCAGGCGGUUUUCUAAGUCUGAUGUGAAAGCCUUCGGCUUAACCGGAGAAGUGCAUCGGAAACUGGAUAACUUGAGUGCAGAAGAGGGUAGUGGAACUCCAUGUGUAGCGGUGGAAUGCGUAGAUAUAUGGAAGAACACCAGUGGCGAAGGCGGCUACCUGGUCUGCAACUGACGCUGAGACUCGAAAGCAUGGGUAGCGAACAGGAUUAGAUACCCUGGUAGGAUAGCC